GCCAGAGACGAACUCGCGGCCGCCCGCGUGGCAGGCGGGCAUUCUGCCAAUGAACCACCGAUGC